AUUCCCUGUCUAUGCUCACAUUUUUCCUAUCUGUUGGGGCUAAACGUUAUUUUGCAAGUUGGAAAAUAUGCAGUUUUAAUUUUAAUUGCACCAAAUUUUAAUAGAUUAAUUAGGAGAGAAUAGAUAUCUUUAACAUUGAGCCUUCUUAUCACAUUUCAAGUUUUACCUGAGCAGUUUACCAAUUUAAGAAGUGAGACCUUUUAGAAGCUUUCUACAUGACUUACCUAUAUCAACCCAAAUUCUUAAAGUUGUUAUUUUGGUGGUCUUCAUUCUUCAGAAGUGCUGCAUGAACCAAAGAGAUAUUGACUGCAGAUGGUGACCUAGUGGACAAGAGGAUCGUAGACAACCUUCUACAGUGGUUGCAUCACUAAAUGUUCUCAUUGUUUCAACUUUCUGGAAGCUUAUCAUGUCUUUGUGUCGCUUAAAGGAUACAGAUUGUUCAUAUCUAUCCCCAGGAAUAGAAGAAACGUGAUUUUUGGCAAGUAGUUGCCUGGGAUGUUGAGUACUUCUCUGUGUUCUAAACAUAUCUUGUGCUUUACUGUAUUGUUGUAUUUUCCUCAUUGCAUUUUUUAAGGCCCAUGAUUACUUUCCAAAUGGGAGUGAAAUUUAUGUGUGAUAAACAUAAUGAGUGCAACCCUAUGGACAGCUUGGUCUUACCCAGAUAAUAAGCAGACUUUCUCUCAAGCUAAGUCUGCCCCUUGUGGCAGUUUUGUGCCAUUUGUAAGAUACUUUGUUCCUCACUUGAAUCAUGAGUGUGACUAUGCAGAUUUUAGAGUUCUAAAUAAGGUCAACUGUAGCUUUUUUUUUAUUAAGCUCAUUAAGACCUGUAGUUGGCCUCAGUCUGGGAUAGUAUAUGAGUUUGACUCUAGAUGUUCUUUUCCCUAAUUUUUAAUGAAAGACUUGAUGUCAUCCCAGCUCUAGUGUAUAAAGGAGAGCCAGACUUGCAUUGACAUUUUGAACUAUGAUGUUGUCAUCUUGUAUAACUUAGGGCUUUGUCAUUUCCUUGGUAUCACUGUGAUUUGCUUGUUUGGAACGGGAUAAAAAGACUAAAGGUACCAAAGACAUUUACUUGUAUCCACAUUACUUUGAUUUUCGUUUGUUUUUUGUUUAACCUUACUGGGCUUAAUGUAGGUGACUUUGAUCAUUGUAAUUUUUAAUUGUCUACUUAUAGAGCAUAAACUGUAGGAAACCACAAAUUGCGUUGCCCAACCUGGAUCAGUAGACAGACUGGACACUUAGUACAUUGAAGUGGGACCACUAAGAAUGAGUGGGUUAUUAAAUAAUUGCAAGCAAACUGUGGUCAUUCAUCCUCCAUUUUCCAUUCUUCUGAGGGGACUAUGUCAUUUGUGACACAGUAGUCAACAACUUUCCAAGCUUGUUUAAGUUUAAUGGGAUUUAUUUUGCAAGUAUGUGAUCAUUUUGGAUAUAUUGUUUUGCUGCUUUGUUUUUCUAUAUUGUGGAUCUAUUUCCAAAUCAAUAAAUA